ensembl:lncRNA novel transcript, antisense to CDH4
AUCUUGUCGUAUGAUAUUAACACGGCUGCUCGGAAACACCUCGAGAGAGACACCAGCUUUCCCCACGCUCUUCCUUUGGUUUCUCUUCUGGGGGGACAUUGGAUCGCACAGCUUUGCAGGGGAAAAACAGCUUGUGUUUUUGAAAGCAAGGAAUAAAAACCUCACAGGCCUCCGUGGCUGACUCGUACCUUGGAAGAUUCUGCAAUGAGGCCACACGGCACAGAAAUGUUCUUUUACAUCCAGACACUAAACAGUGGCUUGCAUCCUUCUCUGUAUUAGCAAUGAACAAAAACUACCAAGACUUAAAAAAAAAAAUCUCUGAUUAGAACCCAUGGAUGCUGACAAUUAUGUGUGGCUUUCAGAUGCAAAGCCAUUUGGCUGCAGGUGACAUGAAGAGGCUGGGAUACGAUUUUGAUCAUUUGCUUUCGCCAGCACUUCCUAUUAGCACGAGUGUGGCCAGGGAGGGUCCUUCUCUCAUCACACUUAGAGCCACUCGUGAUGCUGAGUGUGCUCUUUCAUCUGGUGCAGGGCAGGGGGCAGGGCGAGGAGAGAAGACCCCUGCUUCACCCACUAACCAACACCCUGGGCUGGAAGAGCUCCAACAAGCAGCAGACAGAGAGUUCCAUCCCCAGCCUGACAGCAGGAACAGUGAAGUCCAAGAUAGAGCCAGCUGUCGCUGGGAGCCCGGGAUGGUGGGUGCAGCCUCCUCCGCAGCUGGUGAGAGUGUGUGUGUGCAGGGGUGUAGGGUGGCCUGUUAGCCUAGUGUCUCCUGCACUCAAAUGCCCUGUUUCAGUUGAGUAAGCUAAUUCACACAGUGUCAUGCAGGCUCCUCUGGCUUCGGUUCAAGUUAAUGUCCCAUUGAAAGGCUUCUGUUCACCUUAGGACACCCAGUCGGGUAGCCCCUGCAGCGCUCUGCCCUGUGAGCCUGUGCAGGUGGUGCUUGGCUGUGAUCGAGGUUGGCCUGUUCCAGGAAGGGAAGCACGGCCUGGGAUAUGGGACGGCACUGUCCUGGCACUGCCUCUAACCAGCGUCAGCCUUAGCAGGCACCUGCCUCCUUCUGUGUUGGGUGUGUCCAGAGCCAGAGAGGAGCAUUCCUUUUCAUCACACCUGAAUUAUCUCCUUCAACACCCAGAGGGACCAGGCUCCCACCCUUGGCAUGAUCCAGGAAGAACAGUGACUCGAGUGUGGCUUGGCAGCGCCUUACAGGAGAGGCAGGGAUGCCGAGAAGGGCAGGUUUGGGCUUCCCCCGGAGGCAGAGUGGGGUCUGGAAGGCAGGGCCCCUUGGACAGCAUAUACCCUUCACCCUGCCCUGGGGAAGGCAGCAGGACCCAGCGGCUCAGUCUUCCGGGUGGGUCCUAACCAGCCCCACCCCCACAGUGUGGGUGCUCCCUUGCCUUCUCUGGGACCAGGUCAGCGUGGCUACAGUAAAGGGCCGCAUCCCUUCACAGGGGACGCUACCCACAGAGGCCAGCAUUGGUAGGGUGCUGAGGAUGUGAUGUGUGAGGUUGUAGGGGACAUCAGGGCCUUCUGUGGCACAGGCAGGACUUGACCUCAGGCGGUGGGCUCCUCGGCCUCCCUCACAGUGCCAGAGCCCACUCUCCUGUCUCCAUGUCAGUCCCUUCCACUAAACUAGCCCAACACCUGGUUCACGGCUACCUGAGCACACUGGGGGCUGGGGGCGGGGGGCAGGGCGGUGAUGCACACUUAUUAAAACCAAGUAUCAGACAUGGUGGCUCACGCCUGUCAUCCCAGCACGUUGGGAGGCCGAGGCCGGCAGAUCACCUUAAGGUCAGGAGUUCGAGACCAGCCUGACCAACAUGGUGAAAACCUGCCUCUAUGAAAAAUUCAAAAUUAUCCAGGUGUGGUGGUGUGCGCCUGUAAUCCCAGCUACUCAGGGGGCUGAGGCAGGAGAAUCACUUGAACCCAGGAUGCAGAGGUUGCAGUGAACCAAGAUCGCACCACUGCACUCCAGCUUCGGUGACAGGGCGAGACUCCAUCUC